UAGGGAAUUUUCCGCAAUGGGCGAAAGCCUGACGGAGCAACGCCGCGUGAGUGAAGACGGUUUUCGGAUUGUAAAGCUCUGUUCUGUGGGAAGAAGACAGUGACGGUACCAUAGGAGAAAGCCCCGGCUAACUACGUGCCAGCAGCCGCGGUAAUACGAAGGGGGCUAGCGUUGCUCGGAAUCACUGGGCGUAAAGGGUGCGUAGGCGGGUUUCUAAGUCAGAGGUGAAAGCCUGGAGCUCAACUCCAGAACUGCCUUUGAGACUGGAAGUCUUGAGUUCGGGAGAGGUGAGUGGAACUGCGAGUGUAGAGGUGAAAUUCGUAGAUAUUCGCAAGAACACCAGUGGCGAAGGCGGCUCACUGGCCCGAUACUGACGCUGAGGCACGAAAGCGUGGGGAGCAAAC
rnacentral:rRNA from 1 species